GGAAUUACUGGGCGUAAAGCGCGCGCAGGCGGUUUUGUAAGACGGAUGUGAAAUCCCCGGGCUCAACCUGGGAACUGCCUUUGUGACUGCAUGGCUAGAGUACGGUAGAGGGGGAUGGAAUUCCCUGUGUAGCGGUGAAAUGCGUAGAUAUGCGAAGGAACACCGAUGGCGAAGGCAAUCCCCUGGACCGGUACUGACGCUCAUGCGCGAAAGCGUGGGGAGCAAACAGGAUUAGAUACCCUGGUAGUCCACGCCCUAAACGAUGUCAACUGGUUGUUGGGAAUUUUGUGACUUUAUAGGCAAACUUAACCGUGAAGUUGAACCCCCGGGGAAUACCGGCCCCAGGGUGAAAAUCCAAGGAAUGACGG
rnacentral:rRNA from 1 species